rnacentral:lncRNA from 1 species
UCAAGAUGGAGCAGGGUAUAGAGAAGCCAUUAGGGAUGAUACAGAACACCACCAAAGGAGCUCCUUCUGGGAUUCUCUAUUGGCUGAACUCAGCCAGAAGCUGCCAAGGGAGACCCCCACAACUGGAUGCAGCCCACUGAAGUCAGCUUCCUGGGGUGCGUAGCUGAAGGUAGCAGGGAGCAAAAAGAAUCUGAAGGGGAAGUGAACAAUGUAGAGCGUAUCUGUGCUGAAGACGUAAGGAGAGAGUGGAGGUCAGAAGCUGGCAUGGUCCCUGGUGCAUGUAUCAGCCGCUAAAGAAGUGGAGAGUAUGAACAUAAGCAAGAGGAAGUGAUGAGUAUCCCUUCCAGGAGAACUCUAAGAGGCAGUGAGUGAUUUGCUGGGCUCCCAAGCCCUCUGCUCUGAUGACAGCAAAGCCCCAAAUCAUGGUGCCUCCAUCAGUCGGGACCCCUCAGCAGAGCCAGCUUCACAGCUGGAGUGGAUGAAUCAGAACUUUCCCCAUGGGAGCAUUUAUAAAAAGGGGACACCCAGCGCAGAAGAUGUUUUCCAGGGAGAUCUCGGGGAGCCCAACAAGCCAAGAAGAGCAGAGCAAAGCAUUCCAAGGAAGGACUCUAAGUCUGCAACCGAGCACACACGAGGGUAGCCUACGCAUGUACGUCUUGCAGUGAUGGCAAGGAGCAGGAGAAAGAAAGCCCAUCCAAACAAGCAUAUUGGAAGCCUAUGUAUCCCAUAAGCUGACAUCUUGUUGCCCAAAGCAUGUCAUGUGCGUGGUCCAGAGUCAGUGUUGAAGGGCUCUGCAAAAUCACAUGGUAAAGACUGUGGUUUCAGGGAGGAGUGAAGAUUUGUGCGCAUUGCUCCAAUUGACAACCAUGGCACUAGGCUCAGGCCACACUUCUUCCUAACAAGAGAGCAAGUCAAAGCGUGGUUAGUUAAAGUCCAUACAAAAACUCACUUUAACAGGCCUCCUCUGGAUUGAACAGCUGAUAUUAAGUCAUAAGGUACCACAUCAGAAAGAUACUGGGUAUCUUUGGUUCAGCAAUUCCAUCACCAGGGACUUUUUCAUCCUAAGGAAAUCACUGCACGGUGGACAAAGAUAUAUGCAUAAGGAUGCUCCUUCUGGCCAAAGACCAAAAACAUAACUGGCCAUCAGUAAAAGCCAACACAAGGAAAGACCAUGUGAAUACACAGCAAGAACGUGGUGCUCUGCAAGUCAGAAACAGACCCGUCAUCAGACACCAAAUCAGCCAGCACCUUGAUCUAGGAUUUCUGGCCUCCAAAACAGUGAGAAAAUAAAAUUCUGUUGUUUAAGCCAUGCAGCCUGUUGUAUUUCAUUAUGGCAGCCUGAG